GCCAGGUAUGGUGGCUCACACCUGUAGUCCCAGUUACUCAGGAUGCUGAGGUAGGAGGAUCACUUUAGCCCAGGAGAUUGAGGCUGCAGUGAGCUGUGAUCCCAUCACUGCACUCCAGCCUGGGCAACAAAGUGAGACCCUGUCUCUU
rfam:Gorilla gorilla gorilla genomic chromosome, chr11, whole genome shotgun sequence